rnacentral:misc_RNA from 1 species
UCUCCGUUGGUGAACCAGCGGAGGGAUCAUUACCGAGUUUACAACUCCCAAACCCCUAGGUGAACGUUACCAAACUGUUGCCUCGGCGGGAAAUUCAUGCCCCGGGCGCGUCGCAGCCCCGGACCAAGGCGCCCGCCGGACGACCACCCAGAACUCUUUUGGAUGUCCCUCGCGGACUUUUAUAAUUCUGAACCAUCUCGGCGCCCCUAGCGGGCGUUUCGACAUUGAAUCAAAACUUUCAACAACGGAUCUCUUGGUUCUG